rnacentral:misc_RNA from 1 species
AAUCAUCAAUCUAUCUUCACUUUGUUGUGGAGUUUGGAUUGGACUUGGGGAUUGCUGUCCUUUACAGGUUGGCUUCCCUUAAAGACAUUAGUUGGACUGAGUUGCAAUGCUACGUGUAGUGUGAUAAUAUCUUCACUGCAUAGUUGUAAUGAAGUUUAGCUUCUAACCGUCCUUUACUGGACACUACUUGACC